rnacentral:rRNA from 1 species
CCUACGGGGGGCUGCAGUAGGGAAUAUUGCUCAAUGGGGGAAACCCUGAAGCAGCAACGCCGCGUGGAGGAUGAAGGUUUUCGGAUUGUAAACUCCUUUUGUUAGAGAAGAUAAUGACGGUAUCUAACGAAUAAGCACCGGCUAACUCCGUGCCAGCAGCCGCGGUAAUACGGCGGGUGCAAGCGUUACUCGGAAUCACUGGGCGUAAAGAGCGCGUAGGCGGGUUAGCAAGUCAGAUGUGAAAUCCUAUGGCUUAACCAUAGAACUGCAUUUGAAACUGGUAUGCUAGAGUAUGGGAGAGGUAGGUGGAAUUCUUGGUGUAGGGGUAAAAUGCGUAGAGAUCAAGAGGAAUACUCAUUGCGAAGGCGACCUGCUAGAACAUAACUGACGCUGAUGCGCGAAAGCGUGGGGAGCAAACAGGAUUAGAUACCCUUGUAGUC